rnacentral:misc_RNA from 1 species
GACGCCAUUAUCAAUGGCUCCGUCUGUGGUUACGACUCGCUUCAUCAACUCCUUGCUGCAAAUCUCAAACCCCAGAUAUUUCAGGAAGUUAGCCGGUUGCUAUUAGGGCUUAACUGUGGAAAGCCGCUUCAAACUAUUUCUCUUGCAGAGCCUGUGAAAAGUCUUUCUCUAGAGCAUGAUUUUGACCUCCAGGCUUUCCGCUUUCAUGCUGACAAGGAAUCAGUGAGAGAACCUCAAAUAGUAAGGGUGGGUCUUAUUCAAAAUUCUAUUGCUCUUCCAACAACUGCCCCCUUUUUAGACCAAAAGAGGGCUAUUCUUGAGAAAGUAAAGCCAAUUAUUGAUGCAG